CCGCUCCCGCUCGGGGGCGGUGGGGUGAGGGGAGCGGGGCCGGGGCGUGCGGGGGCCGUGUGAGGGGACGGUGCCGGGAGCGGAACCCUGCGUCUGUGUGCGGCGUGCGGGCGUGGAACCGCAGCUGCGAGCUUCGCCUUCUCCUUCGGCUGCGUUCCGCUUGCUGCUGCUCGGGGUGAUCGCUGUGCGCUCUGUGAGAGAGAUCUGUUGUGCUCUGUGUGAGAGAGAUCUGCUGUGCGCCGCUGACGCGGGCACUGCGUCCUGAUUCUGUGGGGGGAUCUCCUGGGAUUCUGGUACACGUUUCCUCAAGUAUGUGACAAGAGGAACAUGUAUGGAAGAAUAUAAACCUUCUGCCUGCUGAACGCAUUUGGAGAGGCCGCACCACUUGGUAUGGAAGCAGGAGUAGUUGGUGCUGGCUGGGUAUGGCAGAGGCAAGGCAGCUUCGUGCUGCUCGGCAAGGGAGAGGGGCAGCGGGGUGUGUUUGCCAGCGUGCAGCACCUGGAGCUGGACUUCCA
rnacentral:lncRNA from 1 species